UACGGAGGAUGCGAGCGUUAUCCGGAUUUAUUGGGUUUAAAGGGUGCGUAGGCGGCUUAGUAAGUCAGCGGUGAAAUUUUGCAGCUUAACUGUAACAGUGCCGUUGAUACUGCCAGGCUAGGAUUUGGUUGCUGUGGGUGGAAUGUGUGGUGUAGCGGUAAAAUGCUUAGAUAUCACACAGAAUAUCGAUUGCGAAGGCAGCUCACAAAGCCAAGAUUGACGCUGAGGCACGAAAGUGUGGGGAUCAAACAGGAUUA
rnacentral:rRNA from 1 species